UGCAGCGCUGUAACCUCCUCGGGACGGGACAGAUGCCAGCCAAUGGGGAGGAGGAGGGUGUUCAGUGUCAGUUAGCUUUCCUGGCCUGUCAGCGUCACACACAUCCGGUCUUCUCUCAGCCUGAGAGGCGUCAACAGAGGGAACUUCAGGCAGCGAGUCAGCAGCAUGGGAGAGAACUGACUGUCCUCAAGUCACAGGGGAUACCAAGAGCAUUUCGUAGAUUCAUUAUUUUUAUUGCCGAAUAGCAGGGUUUCCCAACAUGGUCAGAAUGAAGGAUUUUCCUGAAUAUCUGAAUGGGACUUUGUAACCACAACCUUUUUGCCUUUUAUAUGUAACCUCCUGAGACCCGACCUAUUCAUUUAUGUCCAUUGUAGUGGACAUUGUAUUUUUGCAUUUAUUUUUUCACUGAUGUUGGGAAACUUAUUUAUUCUUCUUGUGCACUAAAUAGGGCAUGCUGUGAAAUUAAUUUGAAAAAAUCUAAAUUGUAAGAUGUCUUAUUUCCUCCAAAGACAAAUAACCUACAGUUGAAGGACACUUUUUUCCUUGGGUCUCAGGAGGAUAUAAAAUAUAAAUGACUUCAUCUAUAUGGGAUCGGCUUGAAGUCUUCCUGCCCAAGUUUGUUUGAAGUGGACAUGCAGCUUGAUGAGCGUCUAUCAAGUCUCUGUGUGUCUGUCUCAGACCAGCCUCUGAUGGGAAACCGGCUGAAAUAAAACUGGGCAGCCUUGACUCCAGGAGCUCUGAGGCCUUGUCCAGUGACACUGUUCAGUCGAACACUGCUGUGUCUCAGGGGCAGAGCAACAACAAUAGGUCACCUGCACCUGACCAGGCUGACUGAGAUGCUGUGUGUGGAGGAGCCUCCAGGCCAUAAGAGGGUCUGUAACGGUGUCGUGUAAAGGGUCUCUUAGGGACUGACGGUCCGGUGUGAGGAAGCUUCUGCUUAGAAGUUUAUAUGAAGGUUCCUGUAAAUCACAUCUGCUGCCACCAGCUUAAUAAUGUUACUGCUACUGUAAACUUCAUUUCUUUUCCUCGCUGAUUUUAACACUGAGCCUUGAUAGAUUAACCUCACAAUUAUGAACUGCAGAUGAUAAUAUUUGUUUGAAUUACUGUUUUUGUCACCUUAGUUUUUGUUGUGCUCUUUUAGUUUGGUAUCAUUUGAAUAUGUUUAAUUUUAAAUAACAAUAUCAAGUCAAAUAAUUUUCAGGAAAAAAUAAAAUUUCCAAAUAUAA